UGAACCCUCUUAAAGAGAUUUCCUCCUGC
rnacentral:piRNA from 1 species